rnacentral:lncRNA from 1 species
UGAAGGUCAAUAUAAAACCUUAUAUCUCUCCUCCAUGGACCAGAUCUUCCCUGAGGCCAACACGAAUGAAGAUUCAGAUUCCAGCUCCUAUCCUGAUGGCUUUCUUUACCAGAGGAAACGUCUUCCUUCUAUAGUUGUGGAGCCCACAGAGCACACGCAGCCGGAGAGCGGGGGGCGCUGGCCUCUGAGUAACAAUGCAGAGGAAGAGGAGGAGGAAAGCGGUGCUGAUCACACAGAUGGCUCUGUGGAUGGAGAGCAGCAGGGGGACAUAGGGAUAGAAGAAGGCUCUGUUGUCAGGAAGUCUUCUAUUGGACCGUCCCAGAGUCAACUGGCCCUCUCCCGGCUGACCCCCCCUACCUCUCCCACCCCCCCAGAGGCUGCCCCACCAUGCCUGAGGAGCUGAACCAGUACAACCAGUACGGACCGAUAGUACUGCAGUUCCCCUGAACUGUGUGUAACUCCUAUAAUGUGUAACCUCUGCAUGUCUGACUUUCCCAAUAAAAGAGAAGCCCUGUGGAAAGGUUGCGAUGCCCACACAAGUAAAACUAUUUGAGAUAAAUAAGGCCCAAUUCUAAAAACAAACACUAAACUGAUUCCAGUACUGCUAUUUUUGGAGAGAUACCUCUAGAUUAAAUUAAUCUGUGGUUAACUGCUACAGUUUGCUGGUACUGUAUCUGACUUUGUUGACUAGUAACAACCUCCAUGACACAGAAAAUAAGCAUGUGAUGAAUACUUUCAGCUAAAUAUGAGCAUGAAAGUCCAGCCCAGGAACUUUAGGAAGAAAAAGGUCAAGUUUCAAGUGUAAGAAAACAACUCUGACUCAUCCAUGUUUGAACUAAGGUCUGACCAGUAUGGUUUAUGAGGUCUUGAUAAACCAUAUUGUGUACCAGCAUUGAAUAAUAAUCCAAAUCCUUUGGGUUAGGGUGUAAACGCCUCUUUAAUGGAAUUCAGACAAUAUUGGAAUACUACAACUCUAAAUUCAAACUAACCCUAAUGAUUAAAAACAUGUAUUGCAACAGUAACCUUAUUCUUGGAUACAUGUGUGCAGUCCCUUCAAAAUAUAAAAAUCCAGACAGGGAAGUCUCAUUGUCAACCUGAUCACUUGUAUAACUUACUAACAUACUGUACAUAAACAGUUAUAGUGAUUAGUGGAUAUCCACUUUUUACUGAAAUGCUGCUAGCUAUAUCAACAACUUUAUAGAUCCACCCCUAUUUAAAAAAAGUGAAAAUAAUAGUUGUAUGUUUGUUGUUCAAAACCAAAGUUGUUUGGUGUGCUGCUUUCCACCCAAAAUAUAUUUAGAAAUCCUGAAGUUCCAGAGUUAUUGCAAAACAUAUAGUGAUAGCUCUACAGUAGGUCUUCAUGCACCUUUCCUUUAUGUUUCCUUUUCCGUAGAACCAGGUCAGUCUGGGUUGCUAUUGUACAACAAUAAAUUUGCAUUUAUUUCCACA